rnacentral:rRNA from 1 species
AGUGAACGCUGGCGGUAGGCCUAACACAUGCAAGUCGAACGGCAGCACAGUAAGAGCUUGCUCUUACGGGUGGCGAGUGGCGGACGGGUGAGGAAUACAUCGGAAUCUACUUUUUCGUGGGGGAUAACGUAGGGAAACUUACGCUAAUACCGCAUACGACCUACGGGUGAAAGCAGGGGAUCUUCGGACCUUGCGCGAUUGAAUGAGCCGAUGUCGGAUUAGCUAGUUGGCGGGGUAAAGGCCCACCAAGGCGACGAUCCGUAGCUGGUCUGAGAGGAUGAUCAGCCAAACUGGAACUGAGACACGGUCCAGACUCCUACGGGAGGCAGCAGUGGGGAAUAUUGGACAAUGGGCGCAAGCCUGAUCCAGCCAUACCGCGUGGGUGAAGAAGGCCUUCAGGUUGUAAAGCCCUUUUGUUGGGAAAGAAAAGCAGCAGGUUAAUACCCCGCUGUUCUGACGGUACCCAAAGAAUAAGCACCGGCUAACUUCGUG